AGAAAUGUAUGUACUUGGUCUUUCCUUUAAAUGCAUUUUUUUUAGUUAAAGAUUGGGGGCUCUAUUUACUUUUCAUAGCUAACAAAAGGCAAAACAAAAAAACAAAAAAAUAAUAGAAUUGGAAAGCCGACUUAGCAGCUAGAAUGGAGCCAUCCAUCAUCGGAGCUCCGAUCGACUUCCCCGAGAACAGAUCCUUCUACUCCACCAGCUACAUCGACCGAUGAUAAAGCCAGUCUCAUUUCUUUUUUUAUUCCAAGCUAACUAUUACUUCCACUUUGAGUUCUGGAUUUCUUCAAUGGCGAGGAAACAACUCCAAUUUGAGUAACCUCUACGAUCUAUCACCGUAGCAGAAGUAACCGUAUUGAGCCGGGAACUGCGUGGGCUAUAGAGAUGAAAAUGUAAAACAGUUUUUCAAGAAAUAAUUAAGCGAAGACGACAAUGCUGGCGAUCACUUAGAGAUUCCCAGGACAUUAGCGCACUAUUUACAGAGUUUGAUAAUGCAACAUUGCGUUAAUCGUGGGUUUUAAUGGAGUCGCUUGAGGACCAUGAAGCGUGGUGGAUGUGUUCUUGGGGUUUCUUUCGAUAUUCAGAUUAGGUUUGUUUGAGAUUCCUUUCUACAUUGGAAGCUGGUUGGUUCUCUCGACAUGCCCAAGAUAGCUUUUGCCGAAGCUGAAGUUAGUGUCAUCAACCAACCUGGAUGUUGCUGUGGUGGGAACGAAGAUGCUCUACUACUGAAUCAAGUGUUCUGUUGAAUUUUCGGAUUCUUUUCCCAGCUGAUUAUCUUCACUUGAAGUUCUUGUUUGCUAUCUUUCUUCACUUGGAAUAUACAGUGUGUAAAACCCAAUUUUUAGCUGUGUUUGCCUUGAUAGGAUUACUGGUCGAUUAGCUGCUUCUCUUAUAUUGUGGUAUUUAUUUGUUUGGAAGCUCACAGCAACACUUUUUAGCAAUUCUGGUUGGGUUGUUGAAGCUGCCCGGGGCAUAAUUGAAGUGAUCUGCUGCUGUCCAGAGCUGCAUGCCAUUUAGCAUGCUAUUGCUGAGCGAAAACAUCAGGGGUCUCCUACUUGCAAUAGGAAUCUUUGAUCUACAUGUUUUCUUGCUAUAUUGUUUAUUGUUUUAGAAGCUGAAUAUUAACUUCUCUAAAGGUGAUGGUUAUAGUUCA